UUCUUCCCUCAACUCUCGUCUCCGCCUCUCACUCGUCUCUCAUUAAUUCCUCUCUUAUAAUACUCUUUUCCCCAUUAAUGGCAGUGGACGUCGCUGUCUCUGGGAGGUGCCACCACAAGCAUUUCGUGGUAAUAAUGUCUGCUGUCUUCAACGCUUUCUCAUGCUCUCCCCCCAUUCUCUGACGUAUAGUUGCGCUUCUCUGCCCUAACUACCGGCGGCACUACCGGUUCACCUCAACUUCUCUGAUUAUUUUGUCAUCCAGCAACUAUAAACCUCCAACACCGGUGGUUCUCGCACGGGCUCGGCAAAACUUAUCUUCCAUGGUCAAAGAAGAUGAAGUAGCUUCUCGUAAGGACAUAAUAAUAAAUUCACAGUUGUACUUUAAUAUUAAUUGUUAGUUUAUAUGAUAAUUGGAAAAGCAAGAUUAGCAAUCAGAUUUUAUUUAUUUUUAUUAAUUUACUGUUUGUUGUUAGCUGAUGAUUUACAUUUCGAGGGCAGCUCAAAAUAGUGGAAUAUCCAGACCCAAUAUUGAGAGCGAAGAACAAGCAAACAAUCGUGUUUUGGUUUAUUUAUUUCUUUAAAUUGAUGAAAUUUUUUAAUUGUUUUCAAGAUGAUAUAGAUAAUGAAUUCUUGAGUCAAUUGUGUUGUAACUUGUAAGUGUUGGGUGAAUGAAUUGAAAUUAUUGUGGAGAUUCUUUGAAAGCAAAGAACCUAGAAAGGGGCUUUUCACCUUUGCACCUUGAAGUAGACUAUGCAAUAAAAUAUAUCUUGUUGGCUGUUCAGGUUCUGAUAUUUUGGGAAUUUUUUACUGUGAUUGUUUAGCUACCUGGUAACUAUACAUUUAAUUUCAGUAAUACCUUUGAAUUCCAUGCUACCCUUGAUACGUGGACUACUUCAUAAUGGGGAUGAAGUUAGAAGAAAUGGAGAGCUCCAUGGUUCUGAUCAAGCAAGGUGUUGAAGCUGAUGCUGCUGCAUGGCUUGAAUAUUUUGAAUCAAAAGCUUUGGAGCAGCAUGGAGCAGCACGUAAUGGAACUCCAAAACCGGAUGCAUCCAUUGCCUGCAAAGGUCACCUGAGGUAUUGAUUUAGCAAACGAUAUGGAGUUCAUUGAACGUUAUGAAUCUCUACCGUAAUGUGUAUUAAAAGAAGAAGAUUUAAAAGAAAAAGAUUGCAUUACGACGAAGCAUCAGGUAUCUUCAAGGUGGGAGGCUCUUUUCUAUAUGAAAGAUGCAGACCAAGAAGAAAGUAACGGGAAGGAUUUUUGAGAUCUAGCCAACCCAACGGUUUGAAAUCAGCAAGUUGUAAAUUAUCUUCUUUUAUACAAUAAUUUUCUUUUGUUUAAGAGGAGUAUAAGAUAUUUAUUAGAUGGGCGAUAUGCAAAUAAAAAAUUUUCUUCAAUUUAUUAUAAUGAUGAGUUUUGUC